rnacentral:lncRNA from 1 species
AUUUCUGGUGGCUGCUGCCGAAUACCAGCCCUGGAAAAGGCUGCAAAGAGAGGAUCCUCACCAAGGCUGUAGAAAAAGAAUCUUUUAAGAGCGUUAUCUAUCUAUCGACGCACGUUCAGGCCCUGACGGUGACCUGGAGCUGCGCUGCCUCUCCAUCACCCAGGAAAUGACAGGGUCGCGAGGAGUCUGAAGCGCCUCCCAGUUCUGCCCGUGGAUUCCUGACCAUUGUCUGGAUUUGGUAGGCUGGAGCGGGUCCAUGUC